AUACGUAGGGGGCGAGCGUUGUCCGGAAUGAUUGGGCGUAAAGGGAGCGUAGGCGGCCCGGUAAGUCUGGAGUGAAAGUCCUGCUUUUAAGGUGGGAAUUGCUUUGGAUACUGUCGGGCUUGAGUGCAGGGGAGGUAAGUGGAAUUCCCAGUGUAGCGGUGAAAUGCGUAGAGAUUGGGAGGAACACCAGUGGCGAAGGCGACUUACUGGACUGUAACUGACGCUGAGGCGCGAAAGUGUGGGGAGCAAACAGGAUUAGAUACCCUGGUAGUCCACACUGUAAACGAUGAAUGCUAGGUGUAGGGGGUAUCGACCCCUUCUGUGCCGCAGUUAACACAAUAAGCAUUCCGCCUGGGGAGUACGGCCGCAAGGUUGAAACUCAAAUGAAUUGACGGGG
rnacentral:rRNA from 1 species